AUUAAUUUCAUAAAAUUUCUUGAAAAUGUCUGCCAAAUAAAAGGCAUCAUUCUUUAUGGUUUUUAACUGUUCAUAGAGACCAGUCUCAUUAUUACUUUCAAAAAACUGUAUGACACUAUCAAAUAAUGCAACAAAACAAGACAAGCAUGUACCCUUUGAGAGCCAUUGAACUUCUGUGUGUAAAAAUACCGUGUAUGCUCGAGUAUAAGUCGACCCCGAAUAUAAGCCGAGGCCCCUAAUUUUACCACAAAAAACUGGGAAAACUUAUUGACUCGAGUGUAAGCCUAGGGUAGGAAAUGCAGC